UACGGAGGAUGCAAGCGUUAUCCGGAAUGAUUGGGCGUAAAGCGUCCGCAGGUGGCUAUGUAAGUCUGCUGUUAAAGAGUCUAGCUCAACUAGAUAAGAGCAGUGGAAACUACAAGGCUAGAGUACGUUCGGGGCAGAGGGAAUUCCUGGUGUAGCGGUGAAAUGCGUAGAGAUCGGAAAGAACACCAAUGGCGAAAGCACUAUGCUGGGCCGACAUUGACAUUGAGAGACGAAAGCUAGGGAGCAAAUGGG
rnacentral:rRNA from 1 species